CAGUUUGGCUUCCCUGUUCCAGGUGGCAAAGCCUGUGGGGUAUUCACCUACCUGCUGCAUGAAGGCAGCAUGGAGGGACUGUGGUGGAUUAUCUGCAAAGAUGGCCCAAAUUCUCUCAUCCCUGCAGGUACAUACAAGGAGAACUGAAGCUCAGCUAUUCACCCUACAGAAAGCCUGAAUUUUGUAAAUGUUCUGCUUAGAAUGAGGAAGAAAGAUGAAGAAUGAGGAGGAAGAAGGGAGGAACAAGAGAGAGAGGUAAAGCCAACAAGCAGAACAGACCUACAUUUGCAGCAUCUCCAAGUUUCUGCAACAGCUUUAUGUUGUUGUUAUGUUUUGUUUUAAUAAAAGCACAUACCAUUU
rnacentral:lncRNA from 1 species